GACGAACGCUGGCGGCGUGCUUAACACAUGCAAGUCGAACGAAGUGGCGAACGGGUGAGUAACGCGUAAUCAACCUGCCCUUCAGAGGGGGACAACAGUUGGAAACGACCGCUAACACCGCAUACUGAAGGGGGGGAUUGCGUUGGAUUAGCUAGUUGGGGGGGUAACGGCCCACCAAGGCGAUGAUCAGUAGCCGGCCUGAGAGGAGGAACGGCCACAUUGGGACUGGGACACGGCCCAGACUCCUACGGGAGGCAGCAGUGGGGAAUCUUCCGCAAUGGACGGAAGUCUGACGGAGCAACGCCGCGUGAGUGAUGACGGCCUUCGGGUUGUAAAGCUCUGUUAUUCGGGACGCGGUACCGGAAUAGAAAGCCACGGCUAACUACGUGCCAGCAGCCGCGGUAAUUC
rnacentral:rRNA from 1 species